ACUGUGGGGGUUUAGAUUUGACAUUUUCCUUAAAUAGUUUAUAUACUGAACCAUACGUGCCAGAGGAAGGAGGUGCAGAAAUGUUGGGGAAAGUACCAGGAGCUUUUUGUAAGUGAAGCUCAGAUAAAAUAAAGUCAAGGGGUAAACCUUUCUCCCUGCUGU